GGGCUCACACAAGCGGUGGAGGAUGUGGCUUAAUUCGAGGCUACGCGAAGAACCUUACCUAGGCUUAACAUGUUUGGGAAUCUCUGUGAAAGCAGAGAGUGCCUUUCGGGGAACCCUUACGUAGGUGCUGCAUGGCUGUCGUCAGCUCGUGUCGUGAGAUGUCGGGUUAAGUCCCUUAACGAGCGAAACCCUUAUCCCUAGUUGCCAGCGAGUCAUGUCGGGGACUCUAGGGAGACUGCCGGUGUUAAACCGGAGGAAGGUGGGGAUGACGUCAAGUCCUCAUGGCCUUUAUGCCUAGGGCUGCAUACGUCCUACAAUGCAACAUACAAAGGGAUGCAAAAUCGCGAGAUCAAGCAAAUCCCAGAAAGUGUUGCUCAGUUCGGAUUGCAGGCUGAAAUUCGCCUGCAUGAAGCCGGAAUCGCUAGUAAUCGCGGGUC
rnacentral:rRNA from 1 species